AAAGGUACAAGCAGAGACGUAAAUAGCCA
rnacentral:sRNA from 1 species